GCCUGCUUAGCUCAGAGGUUAGAGCAUCACAUUUGUAAUGCGAUGAUCAUCGGUUCGAUUCCGAUAGUCGGCU
rnacentral:tRNA from 1 species